ensembl:snRNA
GAGUUGUAUGAAAGGAGAGAAGGUUAGCACUCCCCUUGACAAGGAUG